rnacentral:tRNA from 1 species
GGGCGCGUAGCUCAGUGGUAGAGCGCUUCACUGACAUUGAAGAGGUCGGAGGUUCGAGUCCUCCCGCGCCCA